rnacentral:rRNA from 1 species
UGGGUGAUCUGCCCUGCACUUCGGGAUAAAGCCUGGGAAACUGGGUCUAAUACCGGAUAUGACCAAGGACUGCAUGGUUUUUGGUGGAAAGGUUUACUGGUGCAGGAUGAGCCCGCGGCCUAUCAGCUUGUUGGUGGGGUAAUGGCCUACCAAGGCGACGACGGGUAGCCGGCCUGAGAGGGCGACCGGCCACACUGGGACUGAGACACGGCCCAGACUCCUACGGGAGGCAG